AAUGGCUGAAGAACAUGUUAUAAUUGAAGAAGGGCAAAGGAAAAAGACGAAGAGGAAAACGAAGUUUUGAUUCCUCGUCCUGCAUGUUCCUGGGUGUAUUUUAGUAAGGAAUUUAUCAAAGAGUGCAUUGCUUCCCCUCCUAGGUCACCAGGCCUUAAAGCUGCGACAAAGGCUGCCUCAAAUGCAUGGAAGUCAAUGAGUCUUGAAGAGAAGGAAAAGUAUGCUAGGCAUGCACUUGAAGUGUGGGAUGGCUACUUGAGUUCGGGUGCUUCUGCCCCUGAACCCAAGCCAAGGAAACAGAUUAAAUACUGCAGACUAAACUGGUAACGAGAUGCUAUCCAGGUCGCUUAUUCAAUGUGUUACAGCGCCUCACACCUGAACAGAAGGAAUCAGUAAAGAGCAUGGGCUUUACUGACUCCUUGGACUUAGAUGUCGAACUCUUCGACGCAGUUUGUGUCUUUGGUUAUUUGAGAGGUUUGACGCUACUAAUUGCAGCUUAGGGAUCAGCAGUGUGCAUGGCCAGUAACUCCAGAAGAUGUGGAGACAGUAUUGGGAUUAUCAGCCAGUGGCAAAGAAGUGGUGAACUCUGGUACAGAAGACUUGAUUUCAGAUUUGCAGAGCAGUUACAAUGCGAUGAAUCAUGGAAUUUCAGUGCGACUUUUAGAGGACAGCUUGGCAACUGCCGAGGCUGGAGAUGAUUUUAAGAGGUUGUUUGUUCUCUAUGUGCUGGGAACUCUUCUGUCCCCAACAGCUAAGCAGGAUGUUAGCCCAUCAUUCCUCCACAUUUUGACAAAUAUGGAUCUUGUACAUCAGUAUAACCGGAGUAAAUUUGUGCUUGAUAGGCUGGUUGGAGAAGUAUCGCUCUUCCAUAAAGGCAAGCAAAGAGCUGUUGGUGGUUGUCUGUUAUUUUUGCAUGACCAGUAAUAACCAUGAAGUGACUUGCAUCUAUUCUCCAUGUCCCUGUCCACUUCAGGAAUGUAACUAUGUUGGGUCAUUUGAACAGUUGGCAUUGCAUUUCAGCAGUAACCACUGGGAUUCUGGAAGACGAUUCAAAUAUAAUUAUCCAUUGGCUAUCUCUUUACAAAUGGAUGAACAAUUUCUUAUUCUCCAGGCAGAAGAAGAUGGGGUUCUCUUUCUCCUCAACAAGGGCACAUAAACUAAUGGAAUAGAGUGAUGAUAACCUGUAUUGGUCCAACCUCAUCAAAAGAGAGGUUUGUUUGUGAGAUUGUUUCAUGUAGGAAAAAAGUUCUCUCAGAUUGAAGUCUGUUGCUGAGAAUUUUCUUCCCCCCGCUAGAUUUUAUUCUGAUUCCUUUCAGUUUUCUUGUUUCUUCGGGGGAGCUCAAUAUACAUAUUUGUAUAUGGAAUUCUAUCAGGCACACAGUAGAUAGCUCUUGA